rnacentral:rRNA from 1 species
UACGUAGGGGGCUAGCGUUGUCCGGAAUCAUUGGGCGUAAAGCGCGUGUAGGCGGUCCGGUAACUCCGCUGUGAAAGUCGGGGGCUCAACCCUCGGAUGCCGGUGGAUACUGUCGGGCUUGAGUACGGAAGAGGCGAGUGGAAUUCCUGGUGUAGCGGUGAAAUGCGCAGAUAUCAGGAGGAACACCAAUUGCGAAGGCAGCUCGCUGGGACGUUACUGACGCUGAGACGCGAAAGCGUGGGGAGCAAACAGG